GGGUUGUGAGGUUAAGCGACUAAGCGUACACGGUGGAUGCCCUGGCAGUCAGAGGCGAUGAAGGACGUGCUAAUCUGCGAUAAGCGCCGGUAAGGUGAUAUGAACCGUUAUAACCGGCGAUUUCCGAAUGGGGAAACCCAGUGUGAUUCGUCACACUAUCAUUACGUGAAUACAUAGCGUAAUGAAGCGAACCGGGGGAACUGAAACAUCUAAGUACCCCGAGGAAAAGAAAUCAACCGAGAUUCCCCCAGUAGCGGCGAGCGAACGGGGAGGAGCCCAGAGCCUGAAUCAGCAUGUGUGUUAGUGGAAGCGUCUGGAAAGGCGCGCGAUACAGGGUGACAGCCCCGUACACAAAAGCGCAUGUGCUGUGAGCUCGAUGAGUAGGGCGGGACACGUGGUAUCCUGUCUGAAUAUGGGGGGACCAUCCUCCAAGGCUAAAUACUCCUGACUGACCGAUAGUGAACCAGUACCGUGAGGGAAAGGCGAAAAGAACCCCGGCGAGGGGAGUGAAAAAGAACCUGAAACCGUGUACGUACAAGCAGUGGGAGCACAGGUUUACCUGUGUGACUGCGUACCUUUUGUAUAAUGGGUCAGCGACUUAUAUUCUGUAGCAAGGUUAACCGUAUAGGGGAGCCGGAGGGAAACCGAGUCUUAACCGGGCGUUAAGUUGCAGGGUAUAGACCCGAAACCCGGUGAUCUAGCCAUGGGCAGGUUGAAGGUUGGGUAACACUAACUGGAGGACCGAACCGACUAAUGUUGAAAAAUUAGCGGAUGACCUGUGGCUGGGGGUGAAAGGCCAAUCAAACCGGGAGAUAGCUGGUUCUCCCCGAAAGCUAUUUAGGUAGCGCCUCGUGAAUUCAUCUCCGGGGGUAGAGCACUGUUUCGGCUAGGGGGCCAUCCCGGCUUACCAACCCGAUGCAAACUGCGAAUACCGGAGAAUGUUAUCACGGGAGACACACGGCGGGUGCUAACGUCCGUCGUGAAGAGGGAAACAACCCAGACCGCCAGCUAAGGUCCCAAAGUCAUGGUUAAGUGGGAAACGAUGUGGGAAGGCCCAGACAGCCAGGAUGUUGGCUUAGAAGCAGCCAUCAUUUAAAGAAAGCGUAAUAGCUCACUGGUCGAGUCGGCCUGCGCGGAAGAUGUAACGGGGCUAAACCAU
rnacentral:rRNA from 1 species